AACAAAAAUAAUGAAGCGUAAGUCCCUAAUGGAAAGGUUGGAGAAAAAUGGCUGAGGUGGGUCACUCCAGGCCAUUACAAAACGUAAAAAAAUGCAAAAAAAAA
rnacentral:lncRNA from 1 species